UGGGGAAUCUUGGACAAUGGGGGCAACCCUGAUCCAGCCAUGCCGCGUGAGUGAUGAAGGCCUUAGGGUCGUAAAGCUCUUUCGCCUGUGAAGAUAAUGACGGUAGCAGGUAAAGAAACCCCGGCUAACUCCGUGCCAGCGAGCCGCGGUAAUACGGAGGGGGUUAGCGUUGUUCGGAAUUACUGGGCGUAAAGCGCACGUAGGCGGACCAGAAAGUUGGGGGUGAAAUCCCGGGGGCUCAACCCCGGAACUGCCUCCAAAACUAUUGGUCUAGAGUUCGAGAGAGGUGAGUGGAAUUCCAAGUGUAGAGGUGAAAUUCGUAGAUAUUUGGAGGAACACCAGUGGCGAAGGCGGCUCACUGGCUCGAUACUGACGCUGAGGUGCGAAAGUGUGGGGAGCAAACAGGAUUAGAUACCCUGGUAGUCCACACCGUAAAACGAUGAAUGCCAGUCGUCGGGUAGCAUGCUAUUCGGUGACACACCU
rnacentral:rRNA from 1 species